UACAGAGGCCUCGAGCGUUAGGCGGAAUCACUGGGCUUAAAGAGUGUGUAGGUGGCGUUCUAAGUACCUUGUGAAAUCCCACGGCUCAACCGUGGAACUGCUGGGUAUACUGGUUCUCUUGAGGUACCUAGGGGCGAGCGGAACAAGUGGUGGAGCGGUGAAAUGCGUAGAUAUCACUUGGAACGCCAACGGUGAAAACAGCUCGCUGGGGGUAUCCUGACACUGAGACACGAAAGCCAGGGGAGCAAACGGG
rnacentral:rRNA from 1 species